CAGUAGCCACGGUAAUACCGAGGGUGCAAGCGUUAAUCGGAAUUACUGGGCGUAAGGCGCGCGUAGGUGGUUCGCCAAGUUGGAUGUGAAAUCCCCGGGCUCAACCUGGGAACUGCAUCCAAAACUGGCGAGCUAGAGUAUGGUAGAGGGUGGUGGAAUUUCCUGUGUAGCGGUGAAAUGCGUAGAUAUAGGAAGGAACAUCAGUGGCGAAGGCGACCACCUGGACUGAUACUGACACUGAGGUGCGAAAGCGUGGGGAGCAAACAGGAUUAGAUACCCCCGUAGUCCCUGUCUCUUAUAC
rnacentral:rRNA from 1 species